GUCUGCUUCCUGUUAGGAGUUUGGUUGGGGGGUGGUAGGUGAAGGAAACCUCCCGAGGGGACCGAUUUUAAAACCGAUAAAGUAUGGUUCAACGAUUCCCAAUCAUUCCCAUCCCUCGGUUGGUGAAACUUGUCAACUUUGUUCUCCUCCCCACCCCCUCCCCUUCGCUAAAUUUUCCCUCGAGAGUCUGUCGACGGUGCCCGCAGACCGCAACCAAUCCGGUUGCGGGGCGGGUGAGUGUCAGGCGGUCACAGCCAAACGGCAGUACUUCCGGAGCGCAAAGGCGGUGCUGGAAGGUAAUUGACGUGCCGGUCGGCUAAUGACAGUGACAGAAGCGGAUGCCGUUCGCCAAUCACGAAGGUCUCUCCGGCACUGGUCCCACCUGCUACCGGAUGUGACGCGGGAGAGUCUGGAGGUUGUGCUGUGGCGGGCGGUGGAUUUGAGUUUUCUGCCGGCGAGAGAGCUGAAGGAACUUCCCAUGGAUCAUACAUGACUUAAAACCCUUGAGCAACUCACUAGUUUUGACCUUUAAUUAUAAAUGGAUGCAGCAGCUGGAGAAUUAAAACAAGCUUUACCGUGUUUUGAAUCCAUGCAAAUACAUGUGGAAGUCUGUGUGAAACAGAACAG